UACGUAGGGGGCUAGCGUUAUCCGGAUUUACUGGGCGUAAAGGGUGCGUAGGCGGUCUUUCAAGUCAGGAGUGAAAGGCUACGGCUCAACCGUAGUAAGCUCUUGAAACUGCAAGACUUGAGUGCAGGAGAGGAGAGUGGAAUUCCUAGUGUAGCGGUGAAAUGCGUAGAUAUUAGGAGGAACACCAGUUGCGAAGGCGGCUCUCUGGACUGUAACUGACGCUGAGGCACGAAAGCGUGGGGAGCAAACAGGAUUAGAUACCCGGGGUAGU
rnacentral:rRNA from 1 species